CCUACGGGAGACUGCAGUCGAGAAUCAUUCACAAUGGGGGAAACCCUGAUGGUGCGACGCCGCGUGGGGGAAUGAAGGUCUUCGGUUUGUAAACCCCUGUCAUGUGGGAGCAAAUUAAAAAGAUAGUACCACAAGAGGAAGAGACGCCUAACUCUGUGCCAGCAGCCGCGGUAAUACAGAGGUCUCAAGCGUUGUUCGGAAUCACUGGGCGUAAAGCGUGCGUAGGCUGUUUCGUAAGUCGUGUGUGAAAGGCGCGGGCUCAACCCGCGGACGGCACAUGAUACUGCGAGACUAGAGUAAUGGAGGGGGAACCGGAAUUCUCGGUGUAGCAGUGAAAUGCGUAGAUAUCGAGAGGAACACUCGUGGCGAAGGCGGGUUCCUGGACAUUAACUGACGCUGAGGCACGAAGGCCAGGGGAGCGAAAGGGAUUAGAUACCCGUGUAGUC
rnacentral:rRNA from 1 species